rnacentral:rRNA from 1 species
AAUAUUGGACAAUGGGCGAAACCCUUAUCCAGCCAUGCCGCGUGUGUGAAGAAGGUCUUCGUAUUGUAAAGCACUUUAAGUUGGGAGGAAGGGUUGUAGGUUAAUACCCUGCAAUUUUGACGUUACCAACAGAAUAAGCACCGGCUAACUUCGUCCCAGCAGCAGCGGUAAUACGAAGGUUGCAAGCGUUAAGCGGAAUAAGUGGGCGUAAAGCGAGAGUAGGUGGUUGGUUAAGUUGGAAGUGAAAGCCACGGGCUUAACCUGGGAAUUGCUUUCAAAACUGACGAGCUAGAGUGAGGUAGAGGGUAGUGGAAUUUCCUGUGUAGCGGUGGAAGGCGUAGAUAUAGGAAGGAACAUCAGUGGCAAAGGCGACUACCAGGACUGAUACUGACACUGAGGUGCGAAAGCGUGGGGAGCAAACAGG